UACGAAGGGGGCUAGCGUUGCUCGGAAUCACUGGGCGUAAAGCGCAUGUAGGCGGACUCUUAAGUCAGGUGUGAAAUCCUGGAGCUCAACUCCAGAACUGCCCUUGAUACUGGGAGCCUUGAGUUCGGGAGAGGUGAGUGGAACUGCGAGUGUAGAGGUGAAAUUCGUAGAUAUUCGCAAGAACACCAGUGGCGAAGGCGGCUCGCUGGCCCGAUACUGACGCUGAGGUGCGAAAGCGUGGGGAGCAAACAGG
rnacentral:rRNA from 1 species